AGAGUUUGAUCCUGGCUCAGGAUGAACGCUAGCGGCAGGCUUAACACAUGCAAGUCGAGGGGUAACAGGAAUAGCUUGCUAUUUGCUGACGACCGGCGCACGGGUGAGUAACGCGUAUGCAACCUACCUUUUACUGGAGAAUAGCCUUUAGAAAUGAAGAUUAAUACUCCAUAAUAAUUAAGACUCUCCUGAGUUUUAAUUUAAAGUUUCGGCGGUAAAAGAUGGGCAUGCAUGCGUUUAUUAGUUAGUUGGUAAGGUAACGGCUUACCAAGACUACGAUAAAUAGGGGUCCUGAGAGGGAGAUCCCCCACACUGGUACUGAGACACGGACCAGACUCCUACGGGAGGCAGCAGUGAGGAAUAUUGGACAAUGGAGGUAACUCUGAUCCAGCCAUGCCGCGUGCAGGAAGACGGCCCUAUGGGUUGUAAACUGCUUUUAUACAGGAAGAAACCUCCCCACGUGUGGGGAGCUGACGGUACUGUAAGAAUAAGGAUCGGCUAACUCCGUGCCAGCAGCCGCGGUAAUACGGAGGAUCCAAGCGUUAUCCGGAUUUAUUAGGUUUAAAGGGUGCGCAGGCGGGAAGAUAAGUCAGUGGUGAAAUCCUGUAGCUCAACUACAGAACUGCCAUUGAUACUGUUUUUCUUGAGUGCGGUUGAGGUAAGCGGAAUGUGUAGUGUAGCGGUGAAAUGCUUAGAUAUUACACAGAACACCAAUUGCGAAGGCAGCUUACUAAACCGUUACUGACGCUGAGGCACGAAAGCGUGGGGAGCGAACAGGAUUAGAUACCCUGGUAGUCCACGCCGUAAACGAUGAUUACUCGUUGUGCGCAAUAUACUGUACGUGACUGAGCGAAAGCAUUAAGUAAUCCACCUGGGGAGUACGUCGGCAACGAUGAAACUCAAAGGAAUUGACGGGGGCCCGCACAAGCGGAGGAACAUGUGGUUUAAUUCGAUGAUACGCGAGGAACCUUACCUGGACUUAAGUAGCGUGACUUUCCCUGAAAGGGGAUUUCUCUUCGGAGCAAGUUACAAGGUGCUGCAUGGCUGUCGUCAGCUCGUGCCGUGAGGUGUCGGGUUAAGUCCCAUAACGAGCGCAACCCCUAUUGUUAGUUGCUAACAGGUUAAGCUGAGGACUCUAGCGAGACUGCCACCGUAAGGUGUGAGGAAGGUGGGGAUGACGUCAAGUCAGCACGGCCCUUAUAUCCGGGGCUACACACGUGUUACAAUGGUCGAUACAAAGGGCAGCUACACUGCGAAGUGAUGCAAAUCUCGAAAAUCGAUCUCAGUUCGGAUUGAAGUCUGCAACUCGACUUCAUGAAGGUGGAUUCGCUAGUAAUCGUGCAUCAGCAACGGCACGGUGAAUACGUUCCCGGGCCUUGUACACACCGCCCGUCAAACCAUGGAAGCUGGGGGUGCCUGAAGUCUGUGACCGUAAGGAGCGGCCUAAGGUAAAACCAGUAACUGGGGCUAAGUCGUAACAAGGUAACCGUA
rnacentral:rRNA from 1 species